UAACUCAAUCUCAAUACUUCUUCCCAUAAAUCAUCAGAAAAAUAUCCAAUAAAACAUAUCUCAAUAUUUUUGUGUUACAAAAGAUGGGAUUUUACAACACAUCCCGCAGUCUAAAUGUCUUUUGGCUAAGAAACUGACAAAACUUAGCGCCCUAAUAAUUCAAAUGGGAGAAACUUCAUUCAACCAAAGCCAGCAACUCGCUCUCCUUGCAGAAACAAUGCCUUGCAUCAGUUCCCAAAUCCACCUCAUAAGCAUUGAUGUCAGAGAAAAGAACCUUCUUCCCCGUCUCUACUUGAGCAACGUCAGAACCAACAGAAAGAACUUCUCCCAUAAGAUAACGCUCAAACUUCACUGCCGAUUUCGGAAGCAAAACUCCACCAGCAGAUUUCUCAGGCAAUUCCUCUAACCGAAUCAAAACUCUAUCAGCUUGCGGCACAACCUUUGUGGGUUCCCAUUUCUGGGAAAUGGCAUUAAUUCUCAAAGAAUUUCUUCUCAGACCAAUGGGUCUUUGAGGAGAGAAAGAAGGAAGAUUUGUUGAGUGAGAAGUGAAGGGUUUAGCCAAUGUAAGGAAUGUAGACGCCAUGGAUAAGGAGAGAGGAGCAGUAGAG
rnacentral:misc_RNA from 1 species